AGAGUUUGAUCCUGGCUCAGGACGAACGCUGGCGGCGUGCCUAACACAUGCAAGUCGAACGAGAAUCUUUGGAAUGAUUCUUUCGGGAUGAAUUCUAAAGAGGAAAGUGGCGGACGGGCGAGUAACGCGUGAGUAACCUGCCCAUAAGAGGGGGAUAAUCCAUGGAAACGUGGACUAAUACCGCAUAUUGUAGUUAAGUUGCAUGACUUGAUUAUAGAAAGUAUUUAUCGCUUAUGGAUGGACUCGCGUA
rnacentral:rRNA from 1 species